rnacentral:ncRNA from 1 species
GCAGAGUAGAAGCGCGCGUGCUGGACUCCGAGAGGAGCCUAAGUGCCGGCGGGACGGGGAGUUGUCCGCCGGACGAACAGCCGCGGCCCUUAUUGGGGCGCGGCGGCAGUGGGCGUUUCGCAUCCCGCUGC